CUUAGAGACUUCUGGAAAAAUCAUGUUAAUAUCCUACAUUGUUUACACAUCAUAGAAAAUGCAUGGAGGAAUGUGUUUAUGACGGUAUUGAACAAAAUGCUCCUGUUGUUGAGGAAAUAGUGUCUCUGGGUAAAUCAUUGGGCUUGGAGGUGAAUGAUGAAGAUGUGGAGAAGUUAGUGGAGGAUCACCAGAACAAACUCACCACAGAAGAACUCCAAGACCUUCAGAGGGAGCAGCAAAAGAGGGCAUCUGAGGAAUUGUCUUCAGAGGAGGAGGAAAGGGAAAAUAUUCCUAGUGCACUGAUCAAAG